CCUACGGGUGGCAGCAGUGGGGAAUAUUGCGCAAUGGGCGAAAGCCUGACGCAGCGACGCCGCGUGAGGGAUGACGGUCUUCGGAUCGUAAACCUCUGUCAGCAGGGAAGAACGGUCACUGUGCUAAUCAGCAGUGAAUUGACGGUACCUGCAAAGGAAGCACCGGCUAACUCCGUGCCAGCAGCCGCGGUAAUACGGAGGGUGCGAGCGCUAAUCGGAAUUACUGGGCGUAAAGCGCUCGUAGGCGGUAUGUCAAGUCAAGGGUGAAAUCCCCGCGCUCAACGUGGGAACUGCCUUUGAAACUGGCAAACUGGAGUGUGUGAGAGGAAAGUGGAAUUCGAGGUGUAGGAGUGAAAUGCGUAGAUAUCUGGAGGAACAUCAGUGGCGAAGGCGACUAUCUGGCACAUAACUGACGCUGAGGAGCGAAAGCGUGGGUAGCAAACAGGAUUAGAUACCCUAGUAGUC
rnacentral:rRNA from 1 species